AACGCAUAUUGCACCCGACAGGCUCGCUUGUCGGGUCUGCCUGUCUGAGUAUCAGUACGGACCCAAUCAACAAUGAAAGGUUAUUCAUAGCCGGACAAUGUUGUGUUGGUGCUCACCAGAGGUUUUAAUACCUUUGGUGGAUUUGAGUGUUCAGCCAUCAUCUGCUUGGUUGAUCACUUGAAAUGUAUUGGUGUCGUCUAGCUGACAGUCGCCGCGUAAGCAUUGUUAAUCAUCUUUAUUGAUGUUCCUUGCUAUUACUACACGGACCAACGACAAUAAGCACCAAUUAGUACGAUCCAAGCACAAACUCCAAAUACUUGUAUUUAACCAUCUUGAUCUCAGAUCAGGCAGGAUGACCCGCUGAACUUAA
rnacentral:misc_RNA from 1 species